rnacentral:misc_RNA from 1 species
AAGGAUCAUUACAACGUAUCCACGUACCAAACUCUCGAACCGUUCCCAACGGAGCAAACACUUGUGGAUGAAGUUAAUGGCUGUCUGUCUUUCGCUGAUGGAGUCCACUGACUUUUGUCGGACGGACUGAAAGGCAUUCGGUCGCCGGAGCUCGUCUCUGGGAUUUCGUUUACUUCGUUGCGGUUUUACCGUCAGCGUUUGUAAUACCAUUAUUGACCCUUUGAACUUAUGAACUGAACUUGAUGGCUUUGCAGCUGUCCUUGCUGGCUUCGGUCACGGACAUGACUGCCUAGCUUAUCACAUUUACGAAACAAAGAACAACUCUUAGCAACGGAUAUCUUGGUUCUC